rnacentral:rRNA from 1 species
UCUACGGGAGGCAGCAGUGGGGAAUAUUGGGCAAUGGCCGAAAGGCUGACCCAGCAACGCCGCGUGGUGGAUGAAGCCCUUCGGGGUGUAAACACCUUUCUGGGGGAAGAUAAUGA